AAAAUCCCAAAGUUAUUAUCAUAUCACAACAGGGAGUAAAUUGAUAAUGCAUUUAUGUAAUAAAAGCACAUGGUAAUUAAUCUAAAUAUAUAGACAUUUGGGAGGGGCUUAUAUGUCACUCAUCUGUUGAUACCAGUGUCCAGCUGUUAAUCCCUGAACACAAGAUAAAUAUUGUAGUCUUAUCUCAUUGUUUUGCAACACAAAUUAUUUAUAUAACAUGGAAGUGAACAAAGAAAAAGAAAAAAAAAAAACUAAAGGGAAAAAAUCUACCAAAAAAGAAAAAAAGUACUAUGGAAAAGAGUGGGGAAGUAUUUUUGAAAGCCUCUGACUGCCUUUAUAAAUUUCUUCUCUUUGGUCUUCUUCAUCUAAAUACAGUUUUAUGAAUUUUAACUAAUUUUCAGUUUAAGUCUAUUUUUUUCUGUCCCAUUAAAUUAAAUGUAUUUUCAAGAAAAGGGUGGUCUUGAUCUUUUUAUGAACAUGUUUUUUGAUGCAC
rnacentral:lncRNA from 1 species